rnacentral:rRNA from 1 species
CGGGUGAGUAACGCGUGAGCAACCUGCCUAUGACAGUGGGAUAGCCUCGGGAAACCGGGAUUAAUACCGCAUAAAAUCGUAGAAACACAUGUUUUAACGGUCAAAGAUUUAUCGGUCAUAGAUGGGCUCGCGUCUGAUUAGCUAGUUGGUGAGAUAACAGCCCACCAAGGCGACGAUCAGUAGCCGGUCUGAGAGGAUGAACGGCCACAUUGGAACUGAGACACGGCCCAA